rnacentral:lncRNA from 1 species
GCUUCAUGUUCCGUUGUUAAAAGGAUUCGUGAUGUUGGGAUCAUCCUGAUAACAUCCCUGCCGCCAGAGUCCACCCCAGUGCUGUGCGCCUAAAGCAAGAGAGUUCCUGCUGGAUGAAUGAACAAGAAGUCCACAGGAGGCCCUCAAUGUUAACUCUCUUCCCCUAGAGAACAAUUCUCGCCUUUGUUGAAGCUAAGACCACUGAAAUGCAGGCUUGCAGGUUUCCAGGUUAGCGCUUCAGGGCACACCCCAGCCUUACCCUUCAGCUGUGUUCUAUCAUCUGCAGCAGCCUAGCCAUGUCGUUCUGCUGUUUUCCCAUCCUGGUUUCUCUGGAGGUGAGUUUAGUUUCUACUUCCUACUCGCCUCCGGGAUGAAAAGUCUCAUGUAUGGUAUUCUGCCCUGUGCUUUC